GACGAACGCUGGCGGCAUGCCUAACACAUGCAAGUCGAACGAGACCUUCGGGUCUAGUGGCGCACGGGUGCGUAACGCGUGGGAACCUGCCCUUAGGUUCGGAAUAACUCCCCGAAAGGGGUGCUAAUACCGGAUAAUGUCUUCGGACCAAAGAUUUAUCGCCUUUGGAUGGGCCCGCGUUGGAUUAGCUUGUUGGUAGGGUAAAAGCCUACCAAGGCGACGAUCCAUAGCUGGUAUGAGAGGAUGAUCAGCAACACUGGGACUGAUACACGGCCCAGACUCCUACGGGAGGGAGCAGGGGUGAAUAUUGGACACUGGGCGAAAGCCUGAUCCAGCAAUGCCGCGUGAGUGAUGAAGGCCUUAGGGUUGUAAAGCUCUUUUACCCGGGAUGAUAUUGACAGUACCGGGAGAAUAAGCUCCGGCUAACUCCGG
rnacentral:rRNA from 1 species